CAAAUUAGAGCUUGAUAGUUAAGUAUUUCAUUUACAUUGAAAGGGUUUUCGUGCAAUUCGAUAUAAUUUGA
rnacentral:tRNA from 1 species